CAGGUCUGGCAGCUGAGCCCUCUUCGUCAGGAGUUCUCAAUGGCCCCCAAGGUGCCUUUGUUUCCUCAAGGGGUUUUCAUAGCAUCCUCAGCUGUGGUAAGAAUAAUUAGAAUUUCUCUUUAAAACCUAUAAAAGUCCAAAUUACAUGUCUUUUAAACAUUUUUCUGUUGCUUUCCUUUAUUUUAUGCUUCUGUUCUUGUUUUUAAGGAAGGCAAUGUAUCGCAUCCUGUAUUACCUUCCCCUGACCUCAUAGCUUCCCAAAACAGGAACAAUCAUGGGCUUUGAAGUAAAGAAUGAAGAUGUGGAGACCUGGAGACAGGUGGCACCUCGUGCUUCCUCCGAAGGGAGAGCCCAUUUCCUAACAGCUGGAUCAAAGGCAUGAAAUGAACAUGGAGUCCCUGAAGAUGAAGAGAAGGCAUGGCUUCCAGGGAGAAAUUGUACAGUUAGUGUCACUCCAGGGUCCCAAAUAGUAGAAACUAUUUCCUGUAUUCUAGUUGAGAAAUUGUUUCCCUGAUUAAGAAGACAUCAUACUUCCUAAGAGAAGCUGCUAUUACCAUGACAUCCAAGUCUUUAUCUAGCAGUUCAGUCUUUCACCUUUCUCUUCACCCUCCACCUCCAAACACACACACACACACACACACACACACACACACACACAGAGCUCCCUCCACUGAGGCAUCUGGCACAACUAAUCAUCUUCAAUUUCUUUGAUUCACAAAAGGAACUGAGAGGUUACUGAUGACCAUAUUAGAUUGUAUUUGGAUGGAAUGUAGAAACAUUGUUAAUUGUUCACUUAAUUAUUCAUUCAUUAUUUCAGCAAUGAACAUUGAUUAAGCACCUACUAUAUCAGAAGCUGCUUAAUUAUCCCACAUAUGCAAUUUCUCCUUCUUAUUAGUAAUAGAACUCUUUGAACUUUCUAUGGGACACUAUCCCCCCAGCUAGAUGCUUGCUGCUGGGUUAUGUGUGCAACAUUUCCUUAGAAGGAAAACUUCUUACCUUCCACCUUCUUUCUCCUUAUGCAGUUACAGGAAUGCAGAUGUGAUUCCUAUGGAUGAGGGUAACCUAGAGGCUAGAAGAACAAUAGGACAGAAGAAGCCUGGGUCCCUGAACAACCUUGUGGAGCAUAGACACCUACGUGGCCUGGACUGCCAGCUCACAAUGGGCCUCUCUGUGAGAGAAGGAAACUUCCCUCUUGUUUAAGCAACUGUGCUUUUGAGAAUCUCUUGGUCUAUACCCUAAUGAAUAAGGCCAUCAUAAAUGGAUAUCAAAGUAAGGAAAUUUGUGUAAAUGAUUUAAUAAAACAUUACCUCAGGUAUGAAAUAAUUCUACCUUGUGCCUUGACAACAUCAGGUAUUAUUCAUG
rnacentral:lncRNA from 1 species